rnacentral:rRNA from 1 species
GUGAGGAAUAUUGGACAAUGGGCGCAAGCCUGAUCCAGCCAUGCCGCGUGCAGGAAGACGCAUCUAUGGUGUGUAAACUGCUUUUGUACGGGAAGAAACACUCCCUCGUGAGGGAGCUUGACGGCACCGUAAGAAUAAGGAUCGGCUAACUCCGUGCCAGCAGCCGCGGUAAUACGGAGGAUCCAAGCGUUAUCCGGAAUCAUUGGGUUUAAAGGGUCCGUAGGCGGUUUAAUAAGUCAGUGGUGAAAGCCCAUCGCUCAACGAUGGAACGGCCAUUGAUACUGUUAGACUUGAAUUACAAGGAAGUAACUAGAAUAUGUAGUGUAGCGGUGAAAUGCUUAGAUAUUACAUGGAAUACCAAUUGCGAAGGCAGGUUACUACUUGUGGAUUGACGCUGAUGGACGAAAGCGUGGGGAGCGAACAGGAUUAGAUACCCUGGUAGUCC